rnacentral:rRNA from 1 species
GACAGAGGGGCCAAGCGUUAUGCGGAAUCACUGGGCUUAAAGCGUGUGUAGGCGGGUUGUUAAGUGGCUUGUGAAAUCCCCCGGCUCAACCGGGGAAUGGCUGGGCAUACUGGCGAUCUUGAGCAGUCUAGGGGCAGAUGGAACAGACGGUGGAGCGGUGAAAUGCGUAGAUAUCGUCUGGAACGCCAAAGGUGAAAACAGUCUGCUGGGGACUUGCUGACGCUGAGACACGAAAGCCAGGGGAGCGAACGGG